rnacentral:rRNA from 1 species
UUAAGUCCCGCAACGAGCGCAACCCUAUUGCCAGUUGCUACCAGGUAAUGCUGGGCACUCUGGUGAGACUCGCCCGGGUUAACCGGGGAGGGAAGGGUGGGGACGGACGUCAAGUCAUCAUGGCCCUUACGCCUAGGGCUACACACGUACUACAAUGGCGCAUACAAAGGGCAGCGAUACCGCGAGGUGGAGCCAAUCCCAAAAAGUGCGUCCCAGUCCGGAUUGCAGUCUGCAACUCGACUGCAUGAAGUUGGAAUCGCUAGUAAUUCGAGAUCAGCAUGCUCGGGUGAAUGCGUUCCCGGGCCUU